rnacentral:rRNA from 1 species
ACUCCUACGGGAGGCAGCAGUGGGGAAUAUUGGACAAUGGGCGAAAGCCUGAUCCAGCCACGCCGCGUGAGUGAUGAAGGCCUUCGGGUCGUAAAGCUCUGUGGGGAGGGACGAAAAGGUAUGUAAGAUAACGACAUGCCCUUGACGGUACCUCCUUAGCAAGCACCGGCUAACUCUGUGCCAGCAGCCGCGGUAAGACAGAGGGUGCAAACGUUGCUCGGAAUCACUGGGCGUAAAGCGCGUGUAGGCUGGCCUGGAAGUCAGGUGUGAAAUCCCUGGGCUCAACCUAGGAACUGCACCUGAAACUCCAGGUCUAGAGUGUCGGAGAGGGAAGCGGAAUUCCGGGUGUAGA